UACGUAGGGGGCAAGCGUUGUCCGGAAUCAUUGGGCGUAAAGAGCGUGUAGGCGGCCAGGUAGGUCGGUUGUGAAAACUGGAGGCUCAACCUCCAGCUGUCGACGGAAACCGUAUGGCUAGAGUCCGGAAGAGGAGAGUGGAAUUCCUGGUGUAGCGGUGAAAUGCGCAGAUAUCAGGAAGAACACCAAUGGCGAAGGCAGCUCUCUGGGACGGUACUGACGCUGAGACGCGAAAGCGUGGGGAGCGAACAGG
rnacentral:rRNA from 1 species